AUCCUUUUGUAGUUCAUAAGCAUGAUGACUGGUUGUUCACACCACUGUGACAUGUGCCUUCCUCAAACCUGUUACGACCUUGGCACAUUACCCGUCUGAUG